AGGUGAUGGUGCUUCGCUUGCUUCUCUUCUCCUUCUCCUUUUGCUUUCUUCUCCCUUUCUGCUUUCUUCACUUCUGCUUGCUCUUUGGCAUUGGGGAAGAUGCAUCUUCGGAGCCAUUAAUCGAGAAGGAGAUGGAAGGAGGUUUUUAGCUUGAGAAGGAGAUUUUUCGUUUGAAUUUAAGAUGUGAGAAGAGAUGAUUGUGAAGAUGAAAGCUAAGAAUUCUG
rnacentral:lncRNA from 1 species